rnacentral:rRNA from 1 species
GACGAACGCUGGCGGCGUGCCUAACACAUGCAAGUCGAGCGAGUGAAUCUCCUUCGGGAGUGAAGCUAGCGGCGGACGGGUGAGUAACACGUGGGCAACCUGCCUCAUAGAGGGGAAUAGCCUUUCGAAAGGAAGAUUAAUACCGCAUAAGAUUGUAGCUUCGCAUGAAGUAGCAAUUAAAGGAGCAAUCCACUAUGAGAUGGGCCCGCGGCGCAUUAGCUAGUUGGUGAGGUAACGGCUCACCAAGGCGACGAUGCGUAGCCGACCUGAGAGGGUGAUCGGCCACAUUGGGACUGAGACACGGCCCAGACUCCUACGGGAGGCAGCAGUGGGGAAUAUUGCACAAUGGGGGAAACCCUGAUGCAGCAACGCCGCGUGAGUGAUGACGGCCUUCGGGUUGUAAAGUUCUGUCUUCAGGGACGAUAAUGACGGUACCUGAGGAGGAAGCCACGGCUAACUACGUGCCAGCAGCCGCGGUAAUAC